AUGGAGAAGCAAUGGCGAGGGACGGACGGCUAGUUUUGUGGCCGAGGUCUAAGACUAAUACGAGUUGGUAAAAGGAGGUUCAGGACGUUCCCAGGGGCGAGUCGAAAUCUGUAAACCUUCUUUUUUUCAUUGUUCAAUGACAUCACUUGAAGAGCUGUGAAGGGGCUCAGGCUGAGACAGUAGCCUCGACGCCUUGAAAUGGGUUGACAUGUUUUCCCUGUCCGGUGACUAGCGGUGUUCCGGAGUGCCCCAUGUGCAAUUCCUCGUCGCUAGGGUAUUUCCAGAAUCCAAUGCUUGACAUAAGAGAUGAAAACUGACUGUAACAAAAAAAAGAAGAUAUUUCAGUUGAUCUAUUGAAAAAAAACUCUUCAGUCAUCUGACCAUACAACAAGAAAUAAACAAUAAAACAACACAUUUCACAAUAUAAAAGUAUUUAUUUAAAAAAGAAAGCCAUCAGCUUCAAUGAUCAAUUAACUUGAUGAAUUCCAUGCAUUGCGCAGGUCUCGGGAACGGGGACCCUGCUUUCAUGGAGACCCAUUUAUUUAUUUAUUUUUAGUUACACAAGUGAUUUUUUUUUCUUUUCACAAAUCACAAUAGCGGUCAAGUCUAUAUAAACAAUUUGUCCAUAUUUACCGACCCCUACCCUUUUGAGCUCCAAUAUUGAUGGAACGGUGAUCGGUAAAAAGUCGUCAGUAUAAACGUUGGGAAAUACUAGCGGUCAUAUCUAUAUCUCAGUCUGUCUUUGUCUUUUUGGUUGUUGUUGUCGUUCUGUCCGCAUUUUUUUCUUUUUCUUUGUCCUGGUUUUUUGCCACAUGUGCGGGGUUGCAAUACUGCUGUCAAUCUGUCUGACGAAGUCACUGUUCUUGUAUCAGGGGGUAUGUAAUUUCUCAACCUAGCUAAAUGUCUUGUUC